GAUGAACGCUGGCGGCGUGCCUAAUACAUGCAAGUCGAGCGAACAGACGAGGAGCUUGCUCCUCUGACGUUAGCGGCGGACGGGUGAGUAACACGUGGAUAACCUACCUAUAAGACUGGGAUAACUUCGGGAAACCGGAGCUAAUACCGGAUAAUAUAUUGAACCGCAUGGUUCAAUAGUGAAAGACGGUUUUGCUGUCACUUAUAGAUGGAUCCGCGCCGCAUUAGCUAGUUGGUAAGGUAACGGCUUACCAAGGCAACGAUGCGUAGCCGACCUGAGAGGGUGAUCCGCCACACUGGAACUGAGACACGGUCCAGACUCCUACGGGAGGCAGCAGUAGGGAAUCUUACGGAAUGGGCGAAAGCCUGACGGAGCAACGCCGCGUGAGUGAUGAAGGUCUUCGGCUCGGAAAACUCUGUUAUUAGGGAAGAACAAAUGUGUAAGUAACUAUGCACGUCUUGACGGUACCUAAUCAGAAAGCCACGGCUAACUACGUG
rnacentral:rRNA from 1 species